UCGGCCCGCCGCGUUUAAACCAAUCAGAAACGUCAAUCAUUUUUUUUGCGCGCCAAAUACUGGCGGGAAAUUCUAAUUGAAGGUAAACAAGAUGGUGAAGCGGCGGUUUAUAAGCACACCAUCAUGCCGUGUCGGGAGAGAGUCUCUACACAUCUCCCGUCCAUUCAUCACUUAAAAAUACAUGGCAGACAUGAGGCUCCAUCUCUCUGUGCCGUGGUGUGUCCAUGUUUCUGUCAGGCGCUGAUCUCUGGUUGGCUGCCGUCUCUCAGCCUGGCACAUUGUUCAGAAACACCACCUCCCCUCGAGUUCCUCCUCGAUGGCACUGACGCUGGCCUACGUUUGGCAAGGCGCUAGCUGAAUGUGUGCCGCCUUUUGUUGCCCAGAGAACAGGCUGAUCCUGGCACAGAGUCGCUCUCCUUUCACAACCCUCCUCCCCACGAUGCCCCGGAGUCAUCUGGCAUCAUUCCACCAGACAUCAGACCGCGUGCCCCCGCAUGAGCUGGAAUACUGGAGCGCACUGUGCCUGUGUGUUCUGCUCUCAACCAGCACUGCUGGUGUACUGCAUGCUACUGCACUGCAUACUGAUGAAUGUUUUUGUUUAUAAACAAUGCAUUAUGCCUUAUAAUCAUUUUAAACAAUAGUAGUGUGUUAUGCUAUACUAUGCAUCGUCUCAACCUUUGGCUGUUCUGCCAAUAUAUUAAAAAUGCCGUGGUCAGCUGGAAGGACGGCGUUCCUGAUUUCUGCUGGAACGCUCCGGAGGGUCUCCAUGAGUCUCAGGUGCUCAUUACGGCUCGCAGCAGGUGUCUGCUCAUUUCACCCGCGUCCGCUGAUCUCAGUUCAGCCUCGUGCGCUCGUUCUGACGGGGUCGUGUGUCCCGCGUCUCUGCCUGACCUCACAAACACGCCGUCAUCAUGCGAAGCAGAAGUUUUGCAGAAAGCCAGAUGUCUGACAGCAUGCUCUUAUCAUCUGUUCCAAACCCUACAUAGACAGCACCCUUCUUAGGGAACAUCCUGUGGGUGAUUUAUACACGGAACACAAAUAUUGGAGAGACGUUUACGGUCAUCAGCGAGGAACGAGACUGAUCCACCUGCAGAAAAAGUGAUAUUUCAAGGCAAGAUGGUUCAUAUUGGGAACAAACAUGGGCAGAAGUUUUCAUUCAUACUUU
ensembl:lncRNA